rnacentral:rRNA from 1 species
UUGACUCACGCGGGGAAUCUUACCGGGUCCGGACACACUGAGGAUUGACAGGUUUCGAGAGUUUUUUUGGAGUUCGCUCCAGAAUGCUCUCUUAAAUAUGCUAGUCCUUUCAUGAUUAUGUGAUAGGUGGUGCAUGGCCGUUCUUAGUUCGUGGAGUGAUCUGUCUGCUUAAUUGCGUUUCACUAAAGGCGUCAUUAUAUUUUUGUGCUUGUGUUUGACCCCUCUUUCUUCGGAUUGAGCGCGUGUCUUUCACACACAAUUACUUUGACGUCUGAAAGCAACGAACGUGACCGUAACCUCUUGUUGCCUUCUCUUCUCUUCGGAGAAUGCUAGUUUUUUUCUUCGGAUAAAUUCUAGUAUAUGGAGGCUUUUACUCAAACUAGAGGGACCGCUGUUACUUUCUUUAAACCAGAGGAAGGUUGCGGCAAUAACAGG